rnacentral:rRNA from 1 species
AGUGAACGCUGGCGGUAGGCCUAACACAUGCAAGUCGAACGGCAGCACCGUAAGAGCUUGCUCUUCCGGGUGGCGAGUCGCGGACGGGAGAGGAAAACAACGGAAUCUACUUUUUCGUGUGGGUUAACGAAGCGAAACUUACUCUCAUACCGCAUACGACCUUGGGGGGAAAGCAGGGGAUCUUCUGACCUUGCGCGAUUGAAUGCGCCGAUGUCGGAUUUGCUAGUUGGGGGGGUAAAGGCCCACCAGGGCGAGGAUCCGUAGCUCGUGUGAGAGGAGGAUCAGCCACACUGGAACUGAGACACGGUCCAGACUCCUACGGGAGGGAGCAGUGGGGAAUAUUGGACAAUGGGCGCAAGCCUGAUCCAGCGAUACCGCGUGGGUUGAGAAGGCCUUCGGGUUGGAAAGCCCUUUUGUUGGGAAAGAAAAGCAGCAGGUUAAUACCCCGCUGUUCUGACGGUACCCAAAGAAUAAGCACCGGCUAACUUCGUG